AAUGCAGCAGCCGUUAGCCAAACUGCGCGGAUGCGCGUU
rnacentral:SRP_RNA from 1 species